UCUAAUUUAUACUGCAUUAUUCCCAUUCUACAGAUAAAGCCACUGAGACUCAGAGAAUUAAGAAACAGAUCACACAUGUUGAAGAACAUCCUCCUAAUGGCUUCUGCUUGUAAACUAGCUGUGAACAAAGCACUAUUUUGCUAUAAAAGCAAUCUUAGAAAUUAACCAGCACAGAGUCAAUGGUCAAUGGCAGUCUGAAGGCAGCUUCCAGCAGGCACAAGCAAACUUUGGAAUGCUGGCAGAGAGAAAAUUGCCCAGGCAACUUCUACUACUAUUUCAGUGAGAGAUGAGUCUUAAGUUUGAAGAUACAGCCCUGAACAAGAAAGAAAAGUUCCCUGCCCAUGAGGAGGUGUCUUUCUCCAGGGGGAAGCAGACAAUAAAUAAAUAGAGUGCCAUGUGAAUAGAACCCAACAAUUCUGGGUCUGGCUUCUUUCACCUUGUAAAAUGCAGGUAAGAUUCGUGCAUGCUGUUUUGUGAGUCAGUAGUUCAUUCUAUUCUAUUGCUGAA